rnacentral:rRNA from 1 species
UGGGGAAUAUUGCACAAUGGGGGAAACCCGUGAUGCAGCGACGCCGCGUGAACGAAGAAGUAUUUCGGUAUGUAAAGUUCUAUCAGCAGGGAAGAUAAUGACGGUACCUGACUAAGAAGCACCGGCUAAAUACGUGCCAGCAGCCGCGGUAAUACGUAUGGUGCAAGCGUUAUCCGGAUUUACUGGGUGUAAAGGGAGCGCAGGCGGUGCGGCAAGUCUGAUGUGAAAGCCCGGGGCUCAACCCCGGUACUGCAUUGGAAACUGUCGUACUAGAGUGUCGGAGGGGUAAGUGGAAUUCCUAGUGUAGCGGUGGAAUGCGUAGAUAUCUGGAAGACACCAAGGCGAAGGCAGUCUCCUGGGCAAAUACUGACGCUCAUAUGCGAAAGCGUGGGUAGCAAACAGGAUUAGAUACCCU